UACAGAGGGGGCAAGCGUUGUUCGGAAUUACUGGGCGUAAAGGGCGCGUAGGCGGCCUUCUAAGUCGAACGUGAAAUCCCUAGGCUUAACCUAGGAACUGCGUCGGAUACUGGAUGGCUUGAAUUCGGGAGAGGGAUGCAGAAUUCCAGGUGUAGCGGUGAAAUGCGUAGAUAUCUGGAGGAAUACCGGUGGCGAAGGCGGCAUCCUGGACCGACAUUGACGCUGAUGAGCGAAAGCUAGGGGAGCAAACGGG
rnacentral:rRNA from 1 species